GACGAACGCUGGCGGCGUGCUUAACACAUGCAAGUCGAACGGAAAGGCCCUGCGUUUGUGGGGUGCUCGAGUGGCGAACGGGUGAUUAACAAGUGAGUAACCUGCCCUGGACUUUGUGAUAACUUCAGGAAACUGGGGCUAAUACCGGAUAGGUACUCCUGCCGCAUGGUGGGGGUUGGAAAGUUUCGGCGGUUGGGGAUGGACUCGCGUCGUAUCAGCUUGUUGGUGGGGUAGUGGCUUACCAAGGCUUUGACGGGUAGCCGGCCUGAGAGGGUGAGCGGCCAGAUUGGGACUGAGAUACGGCACAGACCCCUACGGGAGGCAGAAGUGGGGAAUAUUGCACAAUGGGCGGAAGCAUGAUGCAGCAACGCCGCGUGCGGGAUGACGGCCUUCGGGUUGUAAACCGCUUUCGCCUGUGACGAAGCGUGAGUGACGGUAAUGGGUAAAGAAGCACCGGCUAACUACGUG
rnacentral:rRNA from 1 species